AUGACCUUCGGCUGGGAUCAUAGCUCAGGGGUGGAGCACCUGCCUAGCCCAUGUGAGGCCCUGGAGUCGAUCCCCAGUACUGCAAAAACAAAGCAACAAAAACAAGCUACCUUUUUCACAGUUCUUCCAGAUUUGUACUGUUAUUGUAUUUCAGAUGUGUGGGCGGCAUGGAUUGGACCUUGGAGAGAAGCAGACGUGGGUUUGAAUUCCAGCACCGCCAUUUCCAAACCUACCAACCAGCCUCUCUGCGCCUUGGUGUCCUCAUCAGUAGAAAGAGGCGUGAGACUUACCAUGUCUAAUGCACAUUAGUUUCUCAGUUCAGCCACCUGACUCCUCCGUCUCACAGGCUUUUUCUGGAACUGCCCUCUUCCCUGUUCAUAGAGGGGAUGGCCUACAGUUACAGAUUACUGGACCAGAAGUGAGCCCCUGAC
rnacentral:lncRNA from 1 species